rnacentral:rRNA from 1 species
UACGUAGGGUGCAAGCGUUAAUCGGAAUUACUGGGCGUAAAGCGUGCGCAGGCGGUUGUGCAAGACCGAUGUGAAAUCCCCGGGCUUAACCUGGGAAUGGCAUUGGUGACUGCACGGCUAGAGUGUGUCAGAGGGGGGUAGAAUUCCACGUGUAGCAGUGAAAUGCGUAGAGAUGUGGAGGAAUACCGAUGGCGAAGGCGGCCCCCUGGGAUAACACUGACGCUCAUGCACGAAAGCGUGGGGAGCAAACAGG